AAGGCUGAGGGAAGUGUGCCUGUGGUCUCACUAGAAGCAUGGCUGGAGGGAGAAGAGUUUGUCUUCUAUGGGACAAAAAACCAGUGCAGAUUCAUUGAUCCCCAUCGUGGAAAUCCAUGAAGUCUGUGGGUUCCUGUGAAAUGGGACCUGCAACAGCUCGCAUUAUCGCUCCUCACCUCCCCUUUUGUUGCUGUUGUGGCAGGCUUUGAAAACAAACGCAUGUGCUAUGAGGUCAAAAACCUUUUGAGUAGACAGUGGACCCUAGGUGUAACUCAAGAAUGACUUCAGUAUUCUUCCUAACUCUUCUCCAUCUGUUCCUGGCACCUGAUUUAUUAGAGCGCAUAGGUCAAACUUGUCUCUGGUGCUCGACUGGUCAUAAACUCCUCUUUGUACAAGGAAGAGAAGAGGAAAGUAUUAGCACUCAAUAAAUUAUAAAGUGAAAGACUAGUGUUAAUAAUUGUACCAAUAUUGCUGCUGCUUGUCUAGCUUUGAAACUCCACGUUAGACAGAAGAACUGCAAACACUUCAUCUUGAGAAAUUGGAGGCUGCCUUGAGUCCUAAGUUUUCUUGGACUUUGGCUAACGUCAUUUGGACAUGGGGUGUGCACGCCGUUGCUUGCUUUCAGAAGGAAAAAGAGGAACAAGUCAAGUGGUUGGAAAUUGUGUUUUCUCUGUAAACAAGACCAACUGCUGCUGCGGUGUAUUUAGAUACUGAAGCUGGCUCUUUUUUCAGAAAUGCCCUUUGAGUUUCUAGCGAUGCAGGCUGUCAACGCUUCUUUUGGAGUUUAGUAAGGGAUUAUUCCAAAGAAGUCCUUGUGGAUCUGUUUCCCUGGAUGUCAGUGAUGAUAUUUAUCCCCUCCCCCACAGCCAUGGAAGUAUUUCUGCCGAUUUAGAAAAUCUUUGUCUUUGUGGGGACAAAACAGUGACAAAACAGAGGUGCAAAAUGGUGGCGUUUAAUCUCAGCUCUUGCUUUGGUGCUCUGAUGGGUUGUUUAUUUUAUUUCCUCAUUGGAGGGGUAACUGGGAUAUUUUUUUUUCCCUUCAAGCUGUCAUGACACAAGCUGAAAAAAUAGAGUCACAGAGGGCUUUCUCCUGAGCCUUUUCACAGGGUGUAAGAAAACUGAGAGACUUCAGGUCAGAUGCAAAGCAGAGAGAAAUCAAUGAGAGUAUUUCUGUGUUCACUAAAAUUUUCCUUAAGAAGAUUCUUGUAAAAAUGGAAAAAAAAAAAUAACCCCAAACUUCUUGAGCAAAACUUCUGAUGGAAUGGGUUUUUUUUGUUUAGCAUCAGACUUAAGUAAAGUGUGGUAUAACCAGAAAAUGAUAAAUGAUAGAGGUAAAAUAUAGUAGUUAAUUCGUUUUUUUCACUUCUUCCACAUCUGUUAAAAUCUAGGAGACUUGCAUUGAUGUUUAACAUAAAGUUUGAAGACAGGGGUACAUAAUAUAACAAAGAUGAUACCAAGGCACUGAGACUGGAGUGGAUGCUACCAAUUGUGGUGGCUGAGCUGAGAGACUGAACUGUGUUGGCUGCACUGCUUAAAAACAAAAGCCCACUAAAAAAACAAGUAUGUGGCUGGAAGAUUUGAUACUAAUUUAUCCUCUUAAGGUGUUUAAGAUUUUCAAACAGGUAUUCUAUACAAUGAUAACCCAAAUUUGUGUGGAUAGGAUGAUGGAGAUAAGAUCAUCUAAGCUGAAAACGGAGUUUGCAAAUACUGUGCUGUCAUUCUGUGUAUGCUGGGCUCUGCCUCAGAGGGCAGAAGUAUAACUGCUCUUCCUGCCAUCCGGUUCACUCUACCAAGUGUGCAUUCCAAUCUCUGGCUGUACUUGAGCAGCUAUGAUGAGACUUCUUUUAUGAGUCAGUUUUGAUUAUGAAGUUCAAAAUAGUGGAUUUUGUCUCCGGAGCUCAGAUUUGCUGGGUCUGCAUUGCAAACAAACAAACAAAAAAAUAAACAACAGAUCUUUGUUU
rnacentral:lncRNA from 7 species